CCUACGGGUGGCAGCAGUGAGGAAUAUUGGUCAAUGGCCGUAAGGCUGAACCAGCCAAGUAGCGUGAGGGAAGACUGCCCUAUGGGUUGUAAACCUCUUUUAUGCGGGGAUAAAGGUGUCCACGUGUGGAUGUUUGCAGGUACCGCAUGAAUAAGGACCGGCUAAUUCCGUGCCAGCAGCCGCGGUAAUACGGAAGGUCCGGGCGUUAUCCGGAUUUAUUGGGUUUAAAGGGAGCGUAGGCGGGUCUUUAAGCGUGCCGUGAAAUUUUGUGGCUUAACCAUGAGAGUGCGGCGCGAACUGGAGACCUUGAGUGCGCGGAAGGCAGGCGGAAUUCGUGGUGUAGCUGUGAAAUGCUUAGAUAUCACGAAGAACCCCGAUUGCGAAGGCAGCCUGCCGCAGCGUUACUGACGCUGAAGCGCGAAAGCGCGGGUAGCGAACAGGAUUAGAUACCCGUGUAGUU
rnacentral:rRNA from 1 species